rnacentral:rRNA from 1 species
CCUACGGGAGGCAGCAGUGAGGAAUAUUGGUCAAUGGCCGCAAGGCUGAACCAGCCAAGUCGCGUGAGGGAUGACGGUCCUAUGGAUUGUAAACCUCUUUUGUCAGGGAACAAAAGGCGCCACGUGUGGCGUUUUGCGAGUACCUGAAGAAAAAGCAUCGGCUAACUCCGUGCCAGCAGCCGCGGUAAUACGGAGGAUGCGAGCGUUAUCCGGAUUUAUUGGGUUUAAAGGGUGCGCAGGCGGAAUGUCAAGUCAGCGGUAAAAUUGCGGGGCUCAACCCCGUCGUGCCGUUGAAACUGGGGGUCUUGAGUGAGCGAGAAGUAUGCGGAAUGCGCGGUGUAGCGGUGAAAUGCAUAGAUAUCACGCAGAACCCCGAUUGCGAAGGCAGCAUACCGGGGCUCAACUGACGCUCAGGCACGAAAGCGUGGGUAUCGAACAGGAUUAGAUACCCUGGUAGUC